GGGCGUAAGAGCUCGUAGGCGGUUUGUCACGUCUGCUGUGAAAUUCCGAGGCUCAACCUCGGACUUGCAGUGGGUACGGGCAGGCUAGAGUGCGGUAGGGGAGAUGGGAAUUCCUGGUGUAGCGGUGGAAUGCGCAGAUAUCAGGAGGAACACCAAUGGCGAAGGCACAUCUCUGGGCCGUAACUGACGCUGAGGAGCGAAAGCGUGGGGAGCGAACAGGAUUAGAUACCCUGGUAGUCCACGCCGUAAACGGUGGGUGCUAGCUGUGGGCCACAUUCCACGUGGUCCGUGACGAAGUUAACACAUUAAGCACCCCGCCUGGGGAGUACGGCCGCAAGGCUAAAACUCAAAGGAAUUGACGGGGGCCCGCACAAGCGGCGGAGCAUGCGGAUUAAUUCGAUGCAACGCGAAGAACCUUACCAAGGCUUGACAUAUAGAGGAAAAGUGCAGAAAUGUACUCCCCGCAAGGUCUCUAUACAGGUGGUGCAUGGUUGUCGUCAGCUCGUGUCGUGAGAUGUUGGGUUAAGUCCCGCAACGAGCGCAACCCUCGUCCUAUGUUGCCAGCACGUAAUGGUGGGAACUCAUGGGAUACUGCCGGGGUCAACUCGGAGGAAGGU
rnacentral:rRNA from 1 species